CGAGUUCCCAUAAGAUCACCGAAGUUAAGCAACGUCGAGUCUGGUCAAUACCUAGAUGGGUAACCGCUUGAGAAUACCAGGUGAUGUAAG